GCCUUCGUGGUGUAGUGGUGAGCAGGCUCGGCGCGCAUUCGAAAGGUUCGUGGUUCGAGUCCCGGCGAAGGCG
rnacentral:tRNA from 1 species